rnacentral:rRNA from 1 species
UAGCAUGAAGGGUUGGACAAAGAAAAAACUGUCUUAUAAAUAAAAAUUGAAAUUUACUUUUAAGUGAAAAGGCUUAAAUAUAUUAAAGGGACGAUAAGACCCUAUAAAUCUUUAUAAAUAAUUUAAAUUGAUUUGAUUUAUAAUAAUAAAAGUUUGAUUUAAUUGUUUUAUUUUAUUGGGGCGAUAUGAGUAUAAGUAUAAUUAACUGCUUAGUGAAAAUUCUAUUAUAAAAGAGUUNNAAUUAUAUGAUCCUUUUUAAAGAUUAAAAGACUAAGUUACUUUAGGGAUAACAGCGUUAUUUUUUUUGAGAGUUCAUAUCGAAAAAAAAGAUUGCGACCUCGAUGUUGAAUUAAAAUGUCUAUAUAAUGCAGUCGUUAUAAAAGAAGGUCUGUUCGACCUUUAAAAUUUU